CAAACUGCUCAGCCAAUAACAAUCGUACAUGCUAUAAACUUUCGUACGCAAUCACUUGUUUUGCAAAAGUACCAGGCAUACGCUACGCAAUGUUUAUAGAAACUAGAAACAACAGAGAACCAACUAAGAUGAUCAUCUUACUUUACAAACUGGUGAAACUGAUCACCAUUAUAAUAUUGAUUUUGAUAGCAUGCUCACCCAGUUACCGUAACAAAAGUAAAACCGGAAAAGAUUGGAUGCUAUUUUUGCGACUGGGUCGUUGAGUUGACAAAAAUGAGAGUAGCCAACUAUUGAAACAGACACGGCUGAAAAAAAAAAUGGAUUAUAAAUGUUGAAAUAAAAAAUGUGUAGCAUGA